CACAGUAAGGCACAUUUUGCCCCAAGUGUUUGCUUUGUAGCUCCUGGAGGACCUGUCAGUGGAAGAGGCACUUGACCUUUCUCAGAGUCUACAAGAGGCUACUUAAGCAAUCAAUGGGAGCUGGAAAGAUGUGAGGCUUCUCUGUACAAAAUACAGCUCUACUGUGCUCCGGCUGUGGUCCUCAACUGCAUGGUCACAUCUGCAUUGUAGUCUGUGGGAAGUGGGGUUGGGGAGAGGAAGGCCGUCAGCUUCCUUUUUCAAGCAUGCGACCAAGAAGCUGCACUUACCUGCUCCUGCUCAUAGCCCAUCGGCCAGAACUAGACGAUGCCACAGGCAGCCUCCAGGGAGACUAGGAAAUCUAGUCUCUAGCUGGGCAGCUAUGUGCCCUGCUAAAACCCUGAGCGAGAGAAUGGAUACCGAGAGACAGUCGGCAGUCUCUGCCACACCCUCCCCCUGGGUUGACCCAGACACUGAGCCCAGAAGGUUGAGUCCUGCGCUCCUGCACAGUCCCCAGUGCUCCCGCAUUUCAGUUUCUGAGCCUGAGUCAGUCCCCUCGCUUCCACAAGUCCUGAUUUCAGGGGCUGGCCUAUUAUCUUGUCUUCUAUUCCAGACCACUUAGUAGAGCUGUGGACACUACUCCAGCUGCCAGCUGCCUGCCUGAGCUUGGAGGAUUAGCAGCCGAACCCCUGGCACUGGCCCCACCUGUGCACUGGCAGCAGCUUGAGUCAUUAGAGGCUGCAGAACACCCUUGUCCACCUCUCAUUGUCCAGCCUUGUGAGGCAGGCCCUGCCUUCUCCCUGGGGCCCUUAUCAGUUGGCUCUGGAAUCCUACUUCAUCAGUCCUGUGUGUCGCUGGAGUUUGGGUUAGGUGAGAGCUCCUGUGUGGUCUGGCCCACGGCCUCUGCUGGCAUUCAGACAACGCUUCCCCACGUUUUCGACAUCUGCCUGCCCUUCUGCCAUAAAAUCACCCAGGAGAACUGCUCACACUCUCCUAGCACUGGCAAAAGGACCCCCUGUUUUGUGGAACCAACAACUAGGAAGCCAGGUCCACCAAAUUUCCUCGGCAGGACAAAAAGAGCUGGGGAGACAGGCAGAAAGGAAAGACUGUUGUUACACUGUUUUCUCUAUUUUUUUU
rnacentral:lncRNA from 1 species